UACAGAGGGGGCAAGCGUUAUUCGGAAUUAUUGGGCGUAAAGGGCGCGUAGGCGGCUUUGCAAGUGACGGGUGAAAUCCCUCGGCUUAACCGAGGAACUGCCUGUCAGACUGUGAGGCUUGAGACCGGGAGAGGUGAGUGGGAAUUCCCAGUGUAGCGGUGAAAUGCGUAGAUAUUGGGAGGAACACCAGUGGCGAAGGCGGCUCACUGGACCGGAACUGACGCUGAGGCGCGAAAGCGUGGGGAGCAAACAGGG
rnacentral:rRNA from 1 species